rnacentral:piRNA from 1 species
GGACUUUGCAUACUUCUAUGUUGC